AGUCAUAACUUUUCUUCAAGGAGUAAGCAUCUUUUAAUUUCAUGGCUGCAGUCACCAUCUGCAGUGAUUCUGGAGCCCAAAAAAAUAAAGUCUGACACUGCUUCCACUGUUUCCCCAUCUAUUUCCCAUGACGUGAUGGGACCGGAUGCCAUGAUCUUCGUUUUCUGAAUGUUGAGCUUUAAGCCAACUUUUCACUCUCCUCUUUCACUUUCAUCAAGAGGCUUUUUAGCUCCUCUUCACUUUCUGCCAUAAGGGUGGUGUCAUCUGCAUAUCUGAGGUUAUUGAUAUUUCUCCUGGCAAUCUUAAUUCCAGCUUGUGUUUCUUCCAGUCCAGCGUUUCUCAUGAUGUACUCUGCAUAGAAGUUAAAUAAGCAGGGUGACAAUAUACAGCCUUGAUGUACUCCUUUUCCUAUUUGGAACCAGUCUGUUGUUCCAUGUCCAGUUCGAACUGUUGCUUUCUGACCUGCAUACAGAUUUCUCAAGAGGUAAGUCAGGUGGUCUGGUAUUCCCAUCUCUUGAAGAAUUUUCCACAGUUUAGUGAUAACCGGGGUUAAAUUCUGUAUGUAUUUGGAAGCACUUCAUACAGGUUUUGCUAACUGAUUAUAUGUGGCCUUUGAAAAAGAUGGAAGUCAAGGAUGACAGUAAAACUUUUGACCUGAGCAACAUGAAGAGUGGAAUUACCUGCCCUUAAGUAAGAAAGACAGUGGCAGAUUGGAAUGUCAGGAGAGCACUUGAAACACGUUAAGUUUGAGAUGCCUAUAGAAGCUAUAGACAACUGGAUUUACCAGUCUGGACUUUAGCAGAGGGAACCAGACUAGAACUCCCAAAUUUGGCGUUGACACUGUAUAGAUAUGUUAAAGUUUUGGAACUGAAUGAGAUCAACCCAGAAGGGGAUAUAGAUGGUGGAAGAAAUCAAAUGGAUUCUGGACAUAUUGUAUAGUUAGACUUGAAAGAAUUUGCUGUUAAAUGUAGGUGUAAAAGGUAAGAUUCAAAAAUAGCUCCAAGGGUUUGGAGGAAAAAAAAUGAAGCUAUGGAUUGACUGAUUCUGAGACUCUCCAUUAUUGGAGAUAAAGAGGAAUCAGGGAACUAAACAGUAGGAUUGAUUAGAAAGGAAGGAAUGAAACCAGAGAAGGAAAAUGUCUUGGAAACCAAGUGAAGUAUGUUUUGAGUAAUAAGCUAUUAAUUGACUUGGAUUUACAUGAAAAGUGAGAAAUGACCCUUGGGUUUCAUGUGAUGGAGAUCACAGUCAAUCAUAUUUAAAGUAGUGCGGAUUGAGCAAAAUUAGAAAACAGAGUAACUAAGGCAAUUGCUUUUAAGUGAGAACAGAGGAAGAAAAAUUACAGACAGAGAUUACAAGAUUAGAGAUAAUUCUAAGGCUUUUGCUGUAAAUGAGAGAAAUGAGGCAAUGAUUACAGGGGGAGGUGUGGUCAGUUUUUUGUUUUUAGGAUGGAUACUAGCAUGUAUUUAUGUCAAUAAUGUCAGCAGAGAGAGAAACUAAAGACAUGAGAAAGCAAGGGAAAGGUUGAUGAAGCAAUACAGAGGAUGGGGUUCUAGAAAAUAAGAGAAGUGCUGGCCUUUGUUAGAAACAUGGACAUAUCAUAUGAAUAGAAGAGAAGGUAAAAUAUAUUUUUGGCAAGGUGUAGAUAAGUGGAUGGGCUUCCCAGGUGACUCAGUGGGAAAAGAAUCUGCCUGCCAGUGCAGGAACCCCAGGAGACAUGGGUUUGAUCCUCGAGUCAGGAAGAUCCCCCUGGAGUAGGAAAUGGAAACCCAGUCCAGUAUUCUUGCCAGGAUAAUUCCAUGGACAACAGAGCCUGGUGGACCACAGUUCACAGCAUCUCAAAGAAUCAGACACGACUGAGCAACACAGCACAGUGGCGAGAUGUCCUGGUAGCCUAUAGAAUUGUUUUUCUGAUUCUUUUCUCAGUGAAUCAAGAAGCCAGGUCAUCAGUCAAGAAGUCUGAAGGCAGCGAAGAUAUGAAAUAUUCAAGGAAAGUGUUAAGUAUGAAUGGAUGAGGGAAAUACCUAAGAAUUGCUGGGAAGUAUAAUCCAUUUCAAGUGAAAUCCAUUUCAGGGUUUUCAUGAACUGAAAAUAUGAAA
ensembl:lncRNA